rnacentral:rRNA from 1 species
CAAUAGCGUAUAUUAAAGUUGUUGCAGUUAAAAAGCUCGUAGUUGGAUUUCGGGGUGGCCUGGCUGGUCCGCCGCAAGGUGAGUACUGGUCAGCCGCCCUUCCUCUCGAAAGCCCCGCCUGCUCUUUACUGCAGUGGUCGGGUAGUUCGGGACGUUUACUUUGAAAAAAUUAGAGUGUUCAAGGCAGGCUAUCGCCUGAAUACAUUAGCAUGGAAUAAUGGAAGAGGACCUCGGUCCUAUUUUGUUGGUUUCUAGGGCCGAAGUAAUGAUUAAGAGGGACAGUUGGGGGCAUUCGUAUUUAAUUGUCAGAGGUGAAAUUCUUGGAUUUAUGAAAGACGAACUAGUGCGAAAGCAUUUGCCAAGGAUGUUUUCAUUAA